GGGGAUUUAGCUCAGAGGUAGAGCACUUGCCUAGCAAGCUCAAGGCCCUGGGUUCAAUCCCCAGCUCCA
rnacentral:tRNA from 1 species